UAAGGAGGGCGCAAGCAUUGUUCGGAAUCACUGGGCGUAAAGCGCGUGUAGGCGGAUUGGCAAGUCGGGUGUGAAAUCCCGAGGCUCAACCUCGGAACUGCACUCGAAACUGCCUGGCUCGAGUCCCGGAGAGGGUGGCGGAAUUCCCGGUGUAGGGGUGAAAUCCGUAGAUAUCGGGAGGAACACCAGUGGCGAAGGCGGCCACCUGGACGGUGACUGACGCUGAGACGCGAAAGCGUGGGGAGCAAACAGG
rnacentral:rRNA from 1 species